rnacentral:rRNA from 1 species
AGAGUAUAAGCCAAUGGAGCUUGGAAGGCUACCGCAGUUCUCUUGCAUCGUACGUGUUGCUCGUAAGACCCAUGAGCGUGGUUCGUCAGGCGUAGCAUUGAGUUUGCCAGGUCUAGCUGUCGUGCGGGGGGUUCGGCUUGGAGGUCCGAGGCUUCGGCCGAAGGGCUUUCCGGUCGUCCCCUUUUGAAUGGACGUUCAGAUAUCAUGGGUCUAAUGCGGCUAUGCCCACCACAGCACGUUGUGAGGUCACCCACAGGCUCAAACUGCCGAUCGCGUAUCCAGGACGAUGGCAACGAUGCGUUGUCGACUAUGCCAGAGGCGAGACCUCUCGAGUCACACGCGUGUCUAGUCCUGGGUCGGGCGGCGACCGAGAUACAAAAAUCCUGGUAUGAUCCUCUUGCGACGAGCUGCUUUCUGGCCAGACCGACGCCCAGGCGCUUCCACUGUGCCGGAAGCGUCCAUCCCAGGCGGUGUGAGCCCAGCUGCAUUAUGCAAGGCCUCUCAGCCGGGCGUUGGUCUGAGUGGUGUCAAGUCCAGCACCAUCGGUCACGUCUCGAAACACGGGCCAAGGAGUAUAGCAUGUGUGCAAGUCUAAGGGUAUCCCAAAACCCGAAGGCGAAGUGAAAGCAAGACUGUGGCGGGGGAGCUACGGCGAACCCGCCGGCCUGGUGUGCGGCGCCUCACGGCGUCGCACCCGGCUUAUGGCAGAGCUGAUCCUGUUUUCUCGGUUGAUUCUUGGUGCAGGCGCAAGCUCCGGGCUCACCUACAACACCGGUCACUCGUGGCUGUGUUGUGAGCACCG